GGACUACCCGGGUAUCUAAUCCCGUUCGCUCCCCACGCUUUCGCGCCUCAGCGUCAGGUGCGGCCCAGGAAGCCGCCUUCGCCACGGGUGUUCCUGCUGAUAUCUACGCAUUUCACCGCUACACCAGCAAUUCCACUUCCCUCUGCCGCCCUCAAGAAAGAGAGUUUCCAGCGUUCUUCCACGGUUGAGCCGUGGGCUUUCCCACCGGACUUCUCUCCCCGCCUACGCGCGCUUUACGCCCAGUAAAUCCGGACAACGCUUGCCCCCUACGUAUUACCGCGGCUGCUGGCAC
rnacentral:rRNA from 1 species